rnacentral:lncRNA from 1 species
GAUACAGCACGAUCGAUGAGGUCAUCGAUCUGUUUGAGUGGGGGAGAAUGUAGGGGUGUGAUUCCAGCAUCCCUACCCAUGGCGCCGCACCAUGGCAACCCUAUGGACAAAGUAAGGCUAUUGGAGGCAAGAAUAGCAUGUUGGAUGGCAUAUGGACCGAGAAUAUGAGAGGAGAGACCCGGCGUAAUGCUCUUUGCCGCCCCGGGACCGGGAUGCGGGACCCGGCCCUAGUGAGCUAGGUGCGGGCAUCAUGUCUAGCAAAAGGGACUGAUGUCCCCAUAGAGAAGGAGCUCUAUGGACACUAUAGGGCCGAG